rnacentral:rRNA from 1 species
AUGCUACAAAGGAGUAAUUUUUUCCUUCAGGACUAUUCCUGUGUCAUGUGUAGCCAACAUGUUGUGGAACGAAGAGAUCACCUCUUCUUCCAUUGUCAAUUUGCACAGACCUGCUGGAAGAAAUUAUGCCCUAAUUGGCCAACCUUGUCAUCUGGGAUCCAAGAUCAGAUAGCUAAUUUGAAGCACUUACUAAACUUGCCUUUUGCCAGUGAUAUUAUCAUUCUUAUUGCCUGGGAAAUUUGGAACACCAGAAAUGGCUUCAUCUUUAGGCGGAUUCGGCCAAGCUUAUUUGCUUGCAAAAAGCUCUUCAAUGAGGAAAUGCAUUAG